CAGCAGCCACGGUAAUACGUAGGGUGCGAGCGUUAAUCGGAAUUACUGGGCGUAAAGCGUGCGCAGGCGGUUUGUUAAGACAGAUGUGAAAUCCCCGGGCUUAACCUGGGAACUGCAUUUGUGACUGGCCGGCUAGAGUAUGGCAGAGGGAGGUGGAAUUCCACGUGUAGCAGUGAAAUGCGUAGAUAUGUGGAGGAACACCGAUGGCGAAGGCAGCCUCCUGGGCCAAUACUGACGCUCAUGCACGAAAGCGUGGGGAGCAAACAGGAUUAGAUACCCCAGUAGUCCCUGUCUCUUAUAC
rnacentral:rRNA from 1 species